UACGUAGGGUGCGAGCGUUGUCCGGAAUUAUUGGGCGUAAAGAGCUUGUAGGUGGUUUGUCGCGUCUGCUGUGAAAAUCCGAGGCUCAACCUCGGACUUGCAGUGGGUACGGGCAGACUAGAGUGUGGUAGGGGAGACUGGAAUUCCUGGUGUAGCGGUGGAAUGCGCAGAUAUCAGGAGGAACACCGAUGGCGAAGGCCAGGUCUCUGGGCC
rnacentral:rRNA from 1 species